UACGGGGGGGCAAGCGUUGUUCGGAAUUACUGGGCGUAAAGGGCUCGUAGGCGGCCAACUAAGUCAGACGUGAAAUCCCUCGGCUUAACCGGGGAACUGCGUCUGAUACUGGUUGGCUUGAAUCCGGGAGAGGGAUGUGGAAUUCCAGGUGUAGCGGUGAAAUGCGUAGAUAUCUGGAGGAACACCGGUGGCGAAGGCGGCAUCCUGGACCAACACUGACGCUGAGGAGCGAAAGCCAGGGAGCAAAGCGGG
rnacentral:rRNA from 1 species